UCUUCUUUUGUAGGACGGACAUUCUCUAUCCCAGCAGGAAAGCUAUAGCCAGGCUAACGGGAAAGAAGAAUUUGAAGGACUCCUAAUAAGUAGUCAGUCUAUUCUUCCCCCCAGAGGAGCUUCAGAAAUCAAAAUAAAAACUCAGCAGGUGCAGCACCACUAAAAAGAAAACAUAACCACUACAUGUGAAGAUGGAACCCAGCACACGGCUAUGGAGAUGGAAUGUUUGACGCAGCCCAUGCGUUUGCUUUUCUGGCAGCGCGUCACUCUGUCUUCAGAAACUUCUGGAAAGUCUUGAAAUUCAUAUGAUCCAGGAGAUAUUAAGAAAAGUUCACAGAGAGAAAACUGGUUGUUUCAGAAAAGUCCAAGGAGCAGUGCGCUCUUCCUACAGGUAAAG